rnacentral:lncRNA from 1 species
GUGACAGGUUUAACAUUUUCUAAUAUGAUGUCGUGAUAUCUUUGUGAAUCAAAAUAAUUGAAUGGAUGACUGUUUAAUGUCCAGUGGUCAAAUGGAUUUUCCGGACGGUAACAUGCUAGAAUGUCAACCUGCUUUGUAUAGGACCAACACACUGAGUCGGAUGUGUAAUGUGCCAGUUUGCAAAGAAGCUGUCCAUACAUUAUUGGACACAUUAUUCUGAUUACGAGUCAAC